rnacentral:lncRNA from 1 species
GGGCUGUUCCUUAUCCGGCUGUUGGCGCUGAGAAAAGCCCAAGCCCGGCCUCUCCUUUUAGAGGUCAGAGAAACAGGUCGGGGCGGGGGGCUACCGGGUCGUUCGAGGAGGCACGAGCUGGGGGCCUCCGGAACCACCUGGGGCAGCCGAGGCGUCCGCGGGGCCCGUUCGCCCUCCGCGGGAGCGGGCCGCGCGGGGACAAGCCCAAGGGGCAGGCGUCCGGGACUCGACGGAGAACGCGCGACGGUGCCCGCGAGGGUUCGCUCUUCUUCUCUCUGCCGGACCUCGGCGGGAUUGCGCGCCCUCGGCCCGGCCCCGCGCCGGGGCUCCCGCCGUGCACGCCCGGCCUUGGCCCCCGGGAGGGGACGCCGUCGGGGGGCCCGACGAGGCCGGGCGGGCGUCGAGGCUGCGCCACCAGAGCGCGCCGGCUCCGCGCACGCCCAGAAGCCGCGUAGCCGGUUCCGGGGCUGCCGGAAAGCGCGCGGCCAGCGGCGGCCCCGUCCCCGCGCAAGCGCCUCGCCGCCCGGGCGGGACCCGGGUCUCUGCAGCCGCCCUCGGCCGCGGGGUGGCUCGGCCCCAGGGGGGGAAAGCGCGGACGGCCGCUCGGGCCGGGACACCCUAGCCGGAGAGCGGGGACGCCCUUUUCUCUCCGCAGAUGAAAGCCUCAGCCCCGCUUCCCCGCCCUUCUCUAGAAAAUCAAAUUCAGGGAACGUGGUACCGUAUUUACCCGCACAACUUCCUCCCUUGACAUUUUGCACUCUUGAAGUUGGGGCACAAGCGAUUAUGCAAACAUCUGGGGCUGUCCUGCGCCGCUACCCGGAACCGUCCUUAUUCAUCUUGAAAGCCGCACUCCCUCAUUUGCAUAAUAAUGGCUUAUCUAGAAUAACACAGCAAUCACAGGCAAAAUUAAUUUUCUUUUUCUUCAGCUAGUCCUUGAGAUCCAGCAAACAGAGGCUUAAGGCAAGAAAAACUGAUUUUGCAGAGAGGGUGGGAUUCUUGACCAGGACCGGGGAGAGAUGAGGUUUAAAGUAGUGGGAAUUAAAAGCUGAGUUUCUAUUAUUUGAUUUGGAUUAAGGAGGUGCCUGGCCGACCAGCACUCUGGGCCUCUCGGCUGGUUCCGCCAGGACUCCGUUCCCCACCCUUUGGACAGAUCAGAGGAAGCCCUUCCUUGCUCUGAGAUUGCCGCCCUGCUGACUGGGGCAGAAGUCUUUGAAUUCAAAGCAGAAAAGAAAAGAAAAAAAAAAAAAAAAAAGGUUGUGUGGGUGGUGGUGAGGGCAUUAUGUGGAGGAAACAUCUUUUAUACAUUAAAAAAUCUUUUUGAUCUUUUUAAUAUGAAAAGGAGUGGGAGGGAGAAAAUCCAUAAAUAAAUAUGGAUUUGUCCGUCGGGUCUGGCU